rnacentral:sRNA from 1 species
UCGUCCUCUCCUAAUGCUGGAAUAUAUUCCUACCUGCUCAUGUGGAGUCACUCAGUAAGUACUGUGUAGAAGGUUAGUGCAUUGCAAGACCGCCACUGCACAGCUGAUGGGUGGAAGAAAAAAAGACAUGAGCGCCACCAUUUUGAAACUUUUAGUUGCUGGGCACUUCUAUCUUGAUUACAGGAAUGUAUGACAGAAACCAGGAAGCAACAGGGAAAUCUUGAAGGGAAAGAGAUGUCCUUCCAACUUCCCUAAAUGCCUGGAAAUAUCCUGGAGGCUUUGACCUUGUCUUCAACGGGGCUAGAAGCAACAUUUCCUAGACUAACUAGGAAACAGAAAUGCUAUUAAGUGAGACUGGAGGCCUAUCCAACCGCACAGCAACAUGGGUAAAACAGAGCCUUAAAAAUUAAAUGCCCACAGUUGGGAAAUUAAUGCUCUUGUCUGAAGCCACCAAAUGCCAAGCCUGCAAAGUGGAAAAUUUCCAAAGAGAAGCAAAGACUAUUUCACCCUUGGCUAACCAUGGCUGGGGGCCAAUCUGUGAUCUCUUUCAGCGUGUUAGCUAGGAAGAUGAAGUAGGCAUGUGUUGAUGUGACAGCCCGGAGACCACAUGAACAAGCACACACAUCCACAGCAGUAUAUCUGAAGCCAGGGUUCCCUAGAGAGUACGGAAAUGUAUUGUCUGUGCCAGCAGAAUGGAGGAAAACAAAGACUUCUCUAACUAUCUGCUAAUCAACAACUAUAGGCUUAGGGUUUUUGUGAAAAAUACAAGUUGUUUUAACCAAAACAAUUACAAUUUUGAAAUAAUCCCACUAACUUCUCAAUGGACUAUGUUAUAAAAACCACACCCUACAAAACAUGGAUAAUGAGUGUGAAAGAAACCUUAAUUCUGGUUCUACUCCUGUUUCAUCCCAAGAGCUCUCAAUUUUUAAUAUCAGACAGAUUCCAUGAGAUAGCUUUCAUGGUCUCUGAUUUCCUGUUUCUACUUCUGGUAAUAUUAUUGAUACAAUGGUGACAGGAAGCCUCUUCUCUAAUUGCCUUUUCUAUAAUAUUGAGGACCUUCGUCUUUCUGCUUUGAAACUGACAUUUGUGUCUAGCUGACCUCCUCCAACCUAACCUCUGACCCCCUAAGAGAGCAGGAAGAACAGCACACAGGCCUCGUUCAGCCCUCAGCAUUGUUGGCUUCUCUUUGUUGAAUCUGAUUGUCUUGGAUUCCAUGGUUUCUAUAGCUUUUCUCCUCAGGAGCACAAGUUUCCUGUCUUGCCUCUGUGUUCCCUCCUGUGUAGGAGAGACGUUUGUGAGGGAAGGAUGCAACUUCUCAUCUGCUGAUGUGGAAAAUAAAAUAGACUUUGGUGUAAGAUUUAAAACUUAAACGCUAUGCUGUGAUAGUCAAUGGCCACCCAGUGGGCACUGUUUUGCAAACACAGAUUUAGAUGAAUAAGAAAAAAAGAAAACGCCUUUGUUUAAAUUGGUCCUUUAAAUUGGUUUGUAUAAAAUAAAGCGGGUCUCAUCUUGAAUCAUUUUGUACUUGUGCCUCCAAGACCAACAUCUUUGCUGGAUUGGACAAAAUGGAUAUGAAGGACUAUUGGAAGGGUCAGCACAGAGCAAAGAAUAAGAUGUCUCUGAUGUUUUCAGCUAAUAUUUAAAUUACAAGCCAUAACUCUCACCAGGUAAGAUUCUCAAU